rnacentral:rRNA from 1 species
UACGUAGGGUGCGAGCGUUAAUCGGAAUUACUGGGCGUAAAGCGUGCGCAGGCGGUAAUGUAAGACAGAUGUGAAAUCCCCGGGCUUAACCUGGGACCUGCAUUUGUGACUGCAUUGCUGGAGUGCGGCAGAGGAGACUGGAAUUCCUGGUGUAGCAGUGAAAUGCGUAGAUAUCAGGAGGAACACCGAUGGCGAAGGCAGGUCUCUGGGCUGACACUGACGCUCAUGCACGAAAGCUAGGGGAGCGAACGGG